CUCUCGCAACCCCCCUCCCCCCUCCCAAACCCUCUCUUCACAGCAGCCGACUUUCCCUCUCCCUCUGCCCUUCGACUCUCCCUCUCCCUAUUGCCGGCAGCCGUACAGCCAACCUCCGUUUAUUAGCCCUGCAGAUCCACUAUCCCUCUCUUCAUUCGUCAAGCCUAGAAACCCCUCCCCCCCGCCAUUCGUCAGCCCAGCAAACCCCACUAUCCCUCGUUCGUCAGCCUAACCCUCACUUGCGCCACCUCGUCGUUUCGUCCACAAUCUCGUCGCUCUCCCUCCCCUGUUCCACCGUCGAUCUGGCGGUGGUUCUAACCUCCAUCGGUGGCUAGUCGAAGAUCCCUGGCCUCUGACGCUUACUAUUACAGAUCUGGCAAUGCGAAGGAAUCUGACCGAGACUUGGGUGCUCCAAACGCAGUCCUCUUGGGAGCCCUGUAGAGAGUUUUCAGAUUAGCCAACUCUAGCAAAUAGUCUGGUCAAUUUUCUGCUGGGAGUUAAGCAAAAAGUAAUUGUUCCUCCUGAGGCUAGAUAUGGUCAAAAGAGAAUGAGUGAAAUCCCAGUUGACUUGCUUAAACAUGGCUUACUGACCCUUAGUUCUCGAUCUUUAGACUAAAGCUCAAUGUAUAGAUUAAAUAACGUACUUUGUUGAGAGGUUACUAAUUAAACAAGUUGUCACUUUUGUGUUUGUUGAAAGUUGAAUUUUGUAUAUAAAAAUAAUAAUUAAGAUUUUAUUUUGUGCAUUUACAUGUGAAAGAGAAAUAUUGUUGUAAUUUUCGAGGAAUGUUCAUAUCAAAAGUCAUAGUUGAACAUAUG